ensembl:lncRNA
AUCUUGCUGGAUAUCCUCAUGUACCUGAGGUCUUUUGAAGGGACGCACUGGCAUUACUUACUUUGAGGCAAACUGUACCUGGAUGUUUGCAGAGGACUGAUGGGAGCUGCUGUGUGGCCUUCAGGGAGAUGCAGACAUCCUUUGAGCACACUUGUAUCUUCACAGCACAUCCUGGGGUUUAACCCACGCCAGUGGGACUCAAGAAGGAGGACCAUACACCUAUCCAUGCCAUCAGCCCCUCAGCUGCAUAGGCUCCUGUCCCAGCUGGGCAUCAGGUGCACGUGAUGGACAACGUGGUGUCAGCAGAGGUUCGUAGAUCUGACCAUGCUGUGUGAGGCACAGCUCUGUGCUCUCUGCCACAAGUGCUGCAUUGUUUGAGCCGAGGAAACAAAGGUAUCUGGAUGUGAUAUGCAGUGAUGUCAAUUUGCUGUGAGCUGCUGGGCCGCGUGGCUAAGGCACAGAUGUCUGACCUGAUGUAGUGCAGUGCCCGACCCUGGGGCAGCUCCUGCAGAGACCAAAAAUCAGCACAGAGCAAACAGAGCUUACGGCCUGAUGGAUGGCAAACGUUUACAUGAUGUAAGAGUUAAACUGACUAGAUUUUAUUUUAAUUGCCCAACACCUGGUUGUACAGAAAAUCCCAAACCAACAUUCUAAGCAUGCUUGUUACAUGUGAUCAGUGAAAACCCAGAGCAACUGCUGUACUUUUCACAGCAAGAUGCUCCUGAGCAGUAUGUGAGCUGCUAUUGGCAGGUUUACUUCUUAGGUUGGCUUUUCACACAGACUCGUGCCACACAACACAGCACCCUCGGCUUCGUUUGACUCAGAAAGUUAAAAUAGGCAGGUUAUAUAAUGAUGUUUAUCUUUACAUCAGGAAGUCAACUAAGAAGCUGUUAAGCUGAUAUUAUAUAACGCAGUCCUGGUUACAGAAAGUGUGGAGGAAGACGAUCUGGGUUGAUGUGUGUCGUAUUGGCAGUAAUUGUUAAAGGUUAUAACCAGUAUUGUGUCAUAGGCUUUUGUUUUUCACAUUCUGUAGCUGUCCUGAAAGCAUUCGGGCAUCAGCAGCCAGGAACAGAACUUCACACCUUUGUAGAAAUGUCAACCGCACUAUUCUGUACGUUAGGCAAGAGUAAACACACUUUAUAUUUAAAU